GAUGAACGCUGGCGGCGUGCCUAAUACAUGCAAGUCGAGCGAACAGACGAGGCGCUUGCUCCUCUGACGUUAGCGGCGGACGGGUGAGUAACACGUGUAUACCCUACCUAUAAGACUGGUAUCACUUCGGGAAACCGGCUCUAAUACCGGAUAAUAUAUUGAACCGCAUGGUUCAAUAGAGAAAUACGGUUUUGCUGUCACUUAUAGCUGGUUCCGGGCCGCAUUAGCUAGUUGGUAGGGUCACGGCUUACCAAGGCAACGAGGCGUAGCCGACCUGAGAGGGGGAUCGGCCACACGGGAGCUGGACCGCGGUCAAGGCUCCUGCGGUAGGCAGCAGUAGGGAAUCUUCCGCAGUGGGCGAGAGCAUGACGGAGCAGCGCGGCGUGAGUGAUGAAGGUCUUGGGAUCGUAAAACUGUGUUAUGAGGGAAGAACAAAUGUGUACGUAACUAUGCACGUCUUGACGGUACCUAAUCAGAAAGCCACGGCUAACUACGUG
rnacentral:rRNA from 1 species